rnacentral:rRNA from 1 species
AGAGUUUGAUCAUGGCUCAGAUUGAACGCUGGCGGCAGGCCUAACACAUGCAAGUCGAGCGGUAGCACAGAGAGCUUGCUCUCGGGUGACGAGCGGCGGACGGGUGAGUAAUGUCUGGGAAACUGCCUGAUGGAGGGGGAUAACUACUGGAAACGGUAGCUAAUACCGCAUAACGUCGCAAGACCAAAGUGGGGGACCUUCGGGCCUCAUGCCAUCAGAUGUGCCCAGAUGGGAUUAGCUAGUAGGUGGGGUAACGGCUCACCUAGGCGACGAUCCCUAGCUGGUCUGAGAGGAUGACCAGCCACACUGGAACUGAGACACGGUCCAGACUCCUACGGGAGGCAGCAGUGGGGAAUAUUGCACAAUGGGCGCAAGCCUGAUGCAGCCAUGCCGCGUGUGUGAAGAAGGCCUUCGGGUUGUAAAGCACUUUCAGUGGGGAGGAAGGCGUUAAGGUUAAUAACCUUGGCGAUUGACGUUACCCGCAGAAGAAGCACCGGCUAACUCCGUGCCAGCAGCCGCGGUAAUACGGAGGGUGCAAGCGUUAAUCGGAAUUACUGGGCGUAAAGCGCACGCAGGCGGUCUGUCAAGUCGGAUGUGAAAUCCCCGGGCUUAACCUGGGAACUGCAUUCGAAACUGGCAGGCUAGAGUCUUGUAGAGGGGGGGUAGAAUUCCAGGUGUAGCGGUGAAAUGCGUAGAGAUCUGGAGGAAUACCGGUGGCGAAGGCGGCCCCCUGGACAAAGACUGACGCUCAGGUGCGAAAGCGUGGGGAGCAAACAGGAUUAGAUACCCUGGUAGUCCACGCCGUAAACGAUGUCGAUUUGGAGGUUGUGCCCUUGAGGCGUGGCUUCCGGAGCUAACGCGUUAAAUCGACCGCCUGGGGAGUACGGCCGCAAGGUUAAAACUCAAAUGAAUUGACGGGGGCCCGCACAAGCGGUGGAGCAUGUGGUUUAAUUCGAUGCAACGCGAAGAACCUUACCUGGUCUUGACAUCCACAGAACUUUCCAGAGAUGGAUUGGUGCCUUCGGGAACUGUGAGACAGGUGCUGCAUGGCUGUCGUCAGCUCGUGUUGUGAAAUGUUGGGUUAAGUCCCGCAACGAGCGCAACCCUUAUCCUUUGUUGCCAGCGGUCCGGCCGGGAACUCAAAGGAGACUGCCAGUGAUAAACUGGAGGAAGGUGGGGAUGACGUCAAGUCAUCAUGGCCCUUACGACCAGGGCUACACACGUGCUACAAUGGCAUAUACAAAGAGAAGCGACCUCGCGAGAGCAAGCGGACCUCAUAAAGUAUGUCGUAGUCCGGAUUGGAGUCUGCAACUCGACUCCAUGAAGUCGGAAUCGCUAGUAAUCGUAGAUCAGAAUGCUACGGUGAAUACGUUCCCGGGCCUUGUACACACCGCCCGUCACACCAUGGGAGUGGGUUGCAAAAGAAGUAGGUAGCUUAACCUUCGGGAGGGCGCUUACCACUUUGUGAUUCAUGACUGGGGUGAAGUCGUAACAAGGUAACCGUAGGGGAACCUGCGGUUGGAUCACCU